GGCUCCCAUUUUGGCUGUAGUGUUUCCAAGCGCGUCAAUGAGAGCACGUUCUUUGGUACUUUUCUCCAGUAAAGAUAAACAAUUUUAUUGUUUAUUUGCAUAUUGGGGUACCUAUUGUUUGAUUAUAAACGUUGAUUGACUUGUUUGGAUAAGUUUAUUGGUAACGUUUGGGAUUCAUUUUGUAUGCAUUUUGAAGGAGGGAAACCGAGUGGAUUAUUGACUGAAGCGCGCCAGUUAAACUGAGUUUUUAUGGAUAUAAAAAAUGACUUUAUCGAACAAAAGGACCAUUUGUAAUGUAACUGGGACCUUUUGGAGUGACAACAGAAGAACAUUUUCAAAGGAAGUGAUGUCACUGAGCACUGCCCCUGUAUAUAGGACCUUCCACUCCCACCUGGGAUAUGGAUAGCUGAUGAAGACCUAUUGGUUGAGAUGUUGUAUCAAAAAAAUCACCUGGGAGCAUGAAUAGCAGUGUACAGUGUUUUUAUUUUUCUAUUUUUUAUGAGUUCCCCUAGAAUUCCAGCACCUGCAAAAAAGUACCUGGAUGUGCGUAUGUAUUUCAGCUUUUGUUCAUUUGGAAAAUGAACAUGUGAUAAAUACAUGUGAAACUUUGCACAUACAGUGCAAUACCAGUCAAAAGUUUGGACACACAUACUCAUUCAAGGGUUUUUCUUUUUCUCUACAUUGUAGAAUAAUAUUGAAGACAUUAAAACUAUGAAAUAACACAUAUGGAAUCACGUAGUAACCAAAAAAAUGUUAAAGAGAUCCUUUAAUGUUGCCACCUUUUCCCUUGAUGAUAGCUUUGCACACUCUUGGCUGUCUCUCAACCACCUUCAUGAGGUAGUCACCUGGAUUACGUGUCAAAUAACAGGUGUGCCUUGUUAAAAGUUAGAGCCAAUCAGUUGUAACAAGGUAGGGGUGGUAUACAGAACAUAGCCCCAUUUGACAAAAGACCAAGUCAAUAUUAUGGCAAGAACAGCUCAAAUAAGCAAAGAGAAACGACAGUCUAUCAUUACUUUAAGACAUAAAGGUCAGUCAAUACGGAAAAUGUCAAGAACUUUGAAAGUUUCUUCAAGUGCAGUUGCAAAAACCAUCAAGCGCUAUGAUGAAACUGGCUCUCAUGAGUAACUCUGCUGAGUUAACUCUGCAGCAGAGGAAAAGUUCAUUACAUUUAACAGCACCUCAGAUUGCAGCCCAAAUAAUUGCUUCACAGAGUUCAAGUAACAGACACAUCUCAACGUCAACUGUUCAGAGACUGCAUGAAUCAGGCCUUCAUGGACAAAUUGCUGCAAAGAAACACCAAUAAGAAGAAGAGACUUGCAUGGGCCAAGAAACAUGAGAAAUGGACAUUAGACCAGUGGAAAUCUGUCCUUUGGUCUGAUGAGUCCAAAUUUGAGAUUUUUGUUUCCAACCACCGUGUCUAUGUGAAAAGCAGAGUAGGUGAACAGAUGAUCUCCGCAUCUGUGGUUCCCACCGUGAAGCAUGGAGGAGGAGGUGUGAUGGUGUGGUGAUGCUUUGCUGGUGACACUGUCUGUGAUUUAUUUAGAAUUCAAGGCACACUUAACCCGCAUGGCUACCACAGCAUUCUGCAUCGUUAUGCCAUCCCAUCUAGUUUGCGCUGAGUGGGACUAUUAUUUGUUUUUCAACAGGACAAUGACCCAACACACCUUCAGGCUGUUUUUGACCAAGAAGGAGAGUGAUGGAGUGUGCAUCAGAUGACCUGGCCUCCACAAUCACCCGACCUCAACCCAAUUGAGAUGGUUUGGGAUAAGUUGGACUGCAGGGUGAAGGAAAAGCAGUCAACAAAUGCUCAACAUAUGUGGGAACUCCUUCAAGGACUGUUGGAAAAGCAUUCCAGGUGAAGCUGGUUGAGAGAAUGCUAAGCGUGUGCAAAGCUGUCAAGGCAAAGGGUGGCUACUUUGAAGAAUCUCAAAUAUAAAAUUAUUUUGAAUUGUUUAACACUUUUUGGUUACUACAUGAUUCCAUAUGUGUUAUUUCAUGGUUUUGAUGUCUUCGCUAUUAUUCUAAAAUGUAGAAAAUGUACAAAAAUAAAGCAAAAACCUGGAAUGAUUAGGUGUGAUGUUUCUCCCACAUUUUACACCUGAUUAUGUUUUUUUCAUGUGAAAAAUGUACAUGUAAAAACAUUUACAUGUGAAAAGUACGUUUCCUCAACCACUUUUUUUCCUAUGUGAAAAUGUCAUUUUUUUCACUCUAUUCUUUUUUUAAAAGGAAGCUAUUCAAGAUGUGGGCAAAACAAAUAUUAAAAAUCUAAAGGGGCACCUGCACUACUGCUUUUGAAUUGCAUCUGCUCAUUUUUACCUGGAUGAAGUGCCACACACUAAGAUACUGGCAGAACUGGAAUUCUGGCUAAACCUCCAAUGACAUGACAUGUGUCGGUCACAAAGACCUUUCUCAAGGCCAUGACCAAAAUAAUGGAUGUUAGCAAAUGUUAUUUCUGCAAGUACACGCUGUGUACAGAUACAUUUGCUCUGUCUGCUUAAUUUUCACUUUAUCUACCCACCUGAGAACAAACAUGUCUUCAGGUCUAAAGAAGACAAUUACCUCAUUCUAACACUUCGUUUUUUCAAUAACUUUGGCAAAUUUUUCAGAUGUAAGUGGUAUAUUUUCUAAAUUCUAUGUACAAAUUCUAUGUAAAAAACUCUCAACUGAUAACAUUUGUAAAACUCUCUGUCUUAUGUUCAGGACUGUUGAUUGUGUACUCAUUGGAGUUGAAUGUAUGUUUUCCAUGAAAUACCAUGAGAGCAUUUUGUUUAGUCACCAAUACAUCAGAUGAUAGGCUCACUGUUUAGUCAUUUUAAUUAACAUUUCAUCCAAUAGCUAAAAAUUCAAAACGGUUAUUUUUUAAGUGUUGAAUAAAAAGAAUAGUAGAUGUGAAAUAUAAUUUCCCAUACAGUAUUUGACUGGAAAAUAAUAUGGACAAUUGUUUUUGCAAACCAAUUUUUGUAAUAAUUUGUAUCUAAUGGCAGGUUGUUAGCAUGUAGGAAAUAUAGCCUAUAGUGCAUUCGUAAACUAUUCAGACCCCCCCCGUCUUUUAUUACCAUAUCAUUUUUGUAUGUUCUCUAUAGUGAUGUACUUGAAAAUGUUUCAAUUGACCAGUUUGGCACAUUUGGGCAGACUUGAUACAACAUUUUGUUUAGUAUUGCAAUGCUUCACUGGAUCAGUCUGAAACUUUGCACAUACACUGCUGCCAUCUAGUGGCCAAAAUCUAAAUUGUGCCUAAACUGCAAUAUUAUAUUACGCCCUUUCUCUUGCAUUUCAAAGAUGAUGUAACCAAAACAAAUUAGAAAACGCAUGUUUUUAUGUAUUAUCUUUUACCAGAUCUAAUGUGUUAUAUUCUCCUACAUUAAUUUCAUAUUUCCACAAACUUUAGUGUUUCCUUUUAAAUGGUAUCAAUAAUAUGUAUAUCCUUGCUUCAGGUCCUGAGCUAUAGGCAGUUAGAUUUGGGGAUUGUCAUUUUAGGCAAAAAUUGAAGAAAAGGGUCUGGUUUUCUGUUCGUUUCCAACAAUUGUUGGAAAAAUUACUUGUGUCAUGCACAAAGUAGAUAUCCUAACCGACUUGCCAAAACUAUAGUUUGUUAACAAGAAAUGUGUGGAGUAGUUGAAAAACGAGUUUUAAUGACUCCAACCUAAGUGUAUGUAAACUUCCGACUUCAACUGUCCUAUUGUUUCUCUUUAGUGUAUUUAACACUAUGUCCCAAAUAAAAGCCUUAGCAUGUGCACGUAGGGCGCACUGAUUGGUGUCACCUUGUUAGUAUGUGUUACACCUGUACUGGUUGCCAUCUCGUUAGUGGGAAGGCAUUUCGCCUGUGCUGGCCAAGGUGCUAUUUAAGAGUUGCUGUCGUUAACAUUGCUGUGGGUUUUUACUGUUGUUUGCCUCUUCUUGGGCAAAUUUAGUGGGCGCUCAUGGUGGGUGUCUUUUAGGUUCCAGUUGUUGUUGCUAGUCAACUUUCAGUGGACGCUCCCAUGAGUGUCUUUCGAAUGCCUCCUAAAACCCCGCCUGUUUCGUUUUGGUUGUUGUCAGUGACUCCGUGUUAGUUCCCAAUUCUGGUUGAGCGACAGUUUUUAGUUUUCUUGCUAGGGAACGUAACAGCAUGCACAUCAUCAAUAUGUACCUAUUGUUCCUCUUUAGUGCAUUUAACACUGUUGCAAAUAAAAUCCUUGGGUGGCGAGUUGAUACAUUUAAAACCACCCUCAGACUUAGAAAGAUGUAAAAAUGUCAGUUUUAUUUGCAAAUAUAAAGUCUUAUGACCGAGUACACUUUUUUUAAUUAACUUUUUAUAAAACAAUUCUUUGAUGGGGUAAUUGGUAUUACCGAAAAUAAAUAUAAC
rnacentral:lncRNA from 1 species